CAGAGUGUUCUACCCACUAAGUCUGUAGUUCCAAAGAGGCAUUUUUAGAGGGGUGAUUUGGGGUCUGCUUUUUUUCUUCCAAGGAAAUGCUGUCGGGAAAAGUUAGCAUUGUGGUUUGAAUCUACUUCGUUUUAAUUUUUCCAAGCGCGGAAUAUCCCACCCUAGGGAGUAGGCAGGUCCACCUCCUCUAGCGUUACGGGCAUAACCCGUCUUAUUUACUACAAGCUGUCUAAUUGAGAUCCCUAGAUACGAUCCUGCCGGCCAGAGGGUGGGGUCCAAGAGAGAUACGUGGGGAGCGUGACAGUUGCAUGGAGUAAUGAUGGAUUUGUUGCUGGAGCUGAGCCACUGUAGGGCCUCCGGUUACUUUCUCCCUACAAAUACGCAUUUUUGCCGACACUUAACGCGAGAGAAAUUCUUACAUACUGGCCAAGAUGUGCGUCAGCCAAAUGGAAACCUCUCUGGGUCAACUGAUUCCCUGCCACACACCAUGUGGGGAGAGACUACUGUGAUCAUCUUCCUCACGGACCACAUGGAGUAUGCAAUGGAUGUUUUUUUCAAGAAAGGGUUACUAGCAGACAGGAACAACGUGCUAACCACCAGCAGUUAAGGGCCUAUGAAAUACAUCAUGCAACUUCCUUCAGCCUGCAUGGCUUCAGAUGAGAAAUCUACUGUCGUUCAAAUUGUGUUUCCUUAUAGUUACUGCACGUGUGACCUUUCAGUUGCAGCAUGCAGGCUCUUAGUUGCAGCAUGCAGAAUCUAGUUCCCUGACCA